UACGAAGGGGGCUAGCGUUGUUCGGAAUUACUGGGCGUAAAGCGCGCGCAGGCGGCUAUCCAAGUCAGUGGUGAAAGCCCGGAGCUCAACUCCGGAACUGCCAUUGAAACUGUUUAGCUUGAGGACGAGAGAGGUGAGUGGAAUUCCCAGUGUAGAGGUGAAAUUCGUAGAUAUUGGGAAGAACACCGGUGGCGAAGGCGGCCUGCUGGGCUAUGGCUGACACUGAGGCGCGACAGCGUGGGGAGCAAACAGG
rnacentral:rRNA from 1 species